CAAUAUGUGCAGGCAGCUUGGAAAAUAACUGCUUAGUUAUUCAAAGCGGAAAGAGUCCAGGAGUAAUGGCGGAUUGUAAACAUUUAUGUGGACAAAAGAAACAACACUUUCAGAGUAAGGAGUUCAAGCCCAAAAAGGUAAAAAUCGUACUUUAUUACACUGGGGGAUUAUGGAUUCCAUUUCACACAUUCAAUAACUACAUCAAAACCUGGCUCAGAAAGGGGCAAAAAUAAUUCCCUGUAUCAUAGAUGAAAACUCCACGAACAAGUGUAACCUCUCAGAUGUGCCCUAGCUAAAAUAAUCUCCUGGAGCUAGGUCAGGUUUCUUGGAACAGUACGCUCAUCUGAACAUAAACACAGGACACAUAGGGAUUGCGUUUCACAUGGACGUGCUCUGCCUCAUGGCAAAUCCUCUGUUGUGUUGAGAAUUAACCACAAUCAUUUACAUUAAUUUAGAUAAUAUAACUGAAAUAGAACAGAUUCUUAAAUGAAUAAGAAAUACAAAAUAACAAAAAAAUACAGAUCCCUCACAUCGGAAUGUUACCCGUUUAAAGAAUUUUACUCAUGAAACAAUUGUGGAACUGAAAAAACAUGGGCAUUUGUAUGUUGAUGAUUGGCAUAACUUUGCCACACUACAGAACAUAUUGUAACGUACCUGUACAUAAACAAAGGACACAUAGGGAUUGCUUCUAACGUGGAUGCGCUCUGCCUAGAAAGACAGAAUAGUGUAAAAUCAGACAUUGUUACAGACAAUAAAACAAACUAACGUAAUGAAAACACAGCAAGUUUAACCAAAUAAAUUCCAACCAAAACUAGAAAAUUAUGCAGAAAGAGUGUGGCCUAGACUGCCUGCACGUGCCUGUCCAUGAGUCGGCCAAGCAGGCAAGUAAAAGCUAGCCACAAAGGCUAGCUAGCAAACUAAAGACAUGACAGAUUUUCUCUGGCUGUCUUAGCCACUUGUCAGCAGUUGUUAGGUCCUGUUAUUACUAGUGCAAUGCUAGCGCCAUGCCUGCCCCGCCGUAAUGUUUGAUCCCCGCCGCCUGUAUCAUCCCCCCCGUCAUAAUGUCUGCACCCCGCCGUAAUGUUAUACGAUUGUAUAAGGGAGCACUACGUCACAGCCACGUAUGAAAACAUUUAAGAAAAUAUAUUAAAAGGGAAGAUCGGAACAACUGAUUCGAACGUGGGUCAAAAACACAUUCAGCGAGCUGCCUCAAACCGUGCGCCACAGAGCAUCACCAAGUGGUCUUGCCGUUUUGUAUAAUUUAUCUAUUAAGUUGAAGCAGAACGGGAUGGAUAGAGGAAAUCACCUGGUGUAGGGGACCCCCUGUAUUGGCUACCCCCUGGGUUGAAUGCACUCAUUGUAAGUCGCUUUGGAUAAAAGCAUUAGCUAAAUGAAAAAUGUUAAACUAAGUUAAAGAUGAGCAGCGGCAUCAUCUUGCCAAGGUUGUGUUGACACCACAAGAGUUUCAUUUCUGACCGUGACAUUGGAGCUCACUGUGACAAGACCAUGGACGCAAUGCUUCAACUAUACUACUGGCCUGGCAUGAAGGCCGAGAACGAGAAAUGGUUGGGUGUUACGACUUUAUUCUGGGGAGCCUGUGGUAAUAUUUAAACAUUCAAUCUCAGUGUUUUUCGAUUGAAAAUGUUUAGAUUCGCCAAUGUGAUGCCUGCCAAAAGAAGAGGACCUGGUUUUCAAUACAUUUGUGUGAUGGUGGACUAUUUCAUAAGUGGCUUGAGGUAUACCCGCUGAAAACCAAGAAAUAGCCGUGUGUGUAAUUGAUUGCUUCUAUAAAUAUGGCGCCCCAGAGCCUAUCCUCACCAACCGUGGAAAGGAAUUUUGAGGCAAGUAAUUGUACUGUAUUCAUGGUCACAUUAACAAUGGAAAAAUCCUCAUGGUAUUCCAAAUAAGUUGCCCUCUUGGGCAUUUUCAAGAUGAAUACAGAGUUGUGCCAGAAACUUUGACCAUUGACAGAAGCCUCUGUGCUCCAUACCACCCUCAAACCAAUGGCUUGGUUGAAAAACUCAAAUGGCACAAAUCAAGGGUAUAAAACUAUCUAAUAUAUAUAUUCCAACAAAACCACUGUUGAUGUACAUGGAGACUGACUUUUCAUUGUCAUUAAUUAUUGUUUACCUCUAUUUUAGAGUUUUGAAAAAAUGGUCUAGGAUCACCCAGGUGACUGGGACCAAUACAUUAAGUCCAGUGUUUGGCCUAAGAACUAAAAAACAGCAGACUACAAAGUACUCCCCAUAUAUCUUUAUGUAUGGGAGGGAAACUCUGUAUCCUUCCGAAAUACCAGUCGAGUGGCAGACAUCUGAGGACCAUAUUGGUGCUCACCAGGAAGCUUUCAGGAGGAUAUCGAGAAAAUCGACCAUCUCUCAGAAAAUAUGUGUAACCUGAAGAUCAAAUUCCAGGCAAAUGGAUGUCAGCGGCUUCUACUCCACCUCUGCAGUCCAGCCCGUUGUGUUUUGUUCCACAAUCUCCUCUUGCUGACAAGCAAACAACUCCCCAACCUGUCUCCUUGACCUCCACUCCCCAGAGGAACGCAAUCAUGGCUGACAUCUGGGCGGGUAAACGCCGAGGUGUGCUGUGGAGCAAAGUGGGGCCUUAUAAAAUAUUUGCCGCGGACAUGCAGAACUUGGCCCCCGGAAGGGAAAUAGAGAGCGGUACAGGCGCUGGACCACUUGUCCUUCGAUGUCGUCAUAGGACCGGGUUGCCACAAACGGCACUGGACACUUGUGGUGAGAAUAGUUAAUACUAUCAAGAAUAAUGUGACCCCCCAGACAACUUGACUAGAUGCAAGGAUGUGACAAGAGCAUUCAUGAGAAAUAAAAAUAUCCAUGUUUCAAGAUGGAAUUGUUCAACCUGGAGUUGUUGAGCCACCCAAGACAGCAAGCCUCAACAUCCUGUGGGGCAAUUGUCUUCAAGAUCCAGUGCUCAACACGCACUCUGUGGUUCCACUGGAUUUGCCCCUGGGAAACUACCUCUGGAGCAGCUAACUUCUGCUGUCCAGCAUGUUUUCUUUAGAGAUACUUUUGUUUUUCAAUGAUUUAUGACUGUUAAAACAUUUAAUAAACUGUCCUUUGAGAACUUCAUGAGAUUUGAUUCCUAAUAGAAUGUACAAUCUGUCUCCCUCAAUUCCUUGACUUUUUGUUGGUGCAUCGCUUUUGUUCGGAAAGAUGUAUGGCCUCAUGGUGCUUUUAUAGGGACGCUGCUUAUUAACUUUAAUUGGGUGACAAUUAAGAAUGAAUAUAUUUUUUUGGGAUGUGGUCCAAGACACCUCCAAGGUAACGAGUUGUUUCAGGUACCCUAUACCAGGUUUCCUCCAUACCGAUGUGAUUGCAUUAAUAGAC
ensembl:lncRNA